AGUCUAGGGCUGUGUCCCAAUUCAUAGGACGCAUCCUUCGUAGACCGCGUCCUUCGAAGGAUGCGGCCUUCGUAGACCGCGAAGGACACUCCGAAGGCCGAAGAAAUGGGACGGUCUAGCCUACGGAGCAUUUCUGGUUUACGUAACAAACCGUUACCGCCCUUUCACUUGCGUGACCACGCGCUGCUCCUGUCACCUAGCAACCCUGACAGCUGAACUGACCUGUUAGUAAACAGAAGUUAAACCGGACAGCGCGAAAAAAAGAAACCAACAAAAAUUAUUAUUGAUCAUUAUGUUUUUGUAUAUAGUAGUUUUAUAAUAAUUGUUGUAAAUAGUCACAUGAAUGUUUGUUGUAAAUAGUUUUAUUGUUGUAUAUGGUUUUAAUAAAUAGUUAAUCAAAAAAGUUAGUUAAAUAGUUAGUUAAAUAAGUAAGUUGCAAUAAAUAUGUAAAUAAUAAUAAACAAUGUGUUAAAUAUAACAGAACAUAAGUUAUUUGUCCACCAAACGCUCCAAAAUUUAGAAAAACCUAUCCAUUCUUUCCCUGCUUUCCUGGGCUCUUCUCUCCUCUGCCUCCCUUUGUAGCCUCAUGUCCUCUUUUAUUAACUGGAACAUUGACAUUUUACAUUUACAUUUAGGGCAUUUAGCAGACGCUUUUAUCCAAAGCGACUUACAAUAAGUACAUUUGUCAUAAGAAGUGCAUCAAUAUAUCGCUGUCGGUACAGAAAGGAUGUUCAUAGAACCAAGUGCAAGUACCACAAUCGCUAGGCUAACCCAUUCCCCGUGUUACAGCCAUGAUAGCAGCUACUGCAGUUGCUACACAGUUAAGUACUAUAAUACAAUACAACACAGUGUACAAUGGUUGCCAGAAGGGGGAGGGUGGCUAUGCAGUCGAGGUGGACUCUGAACAGGUGUAUCUUGAGUCCUUUUCGGAAGAUAGUGAGCGACUCUGGAACAUGUCUUCCUCUCUGUCCCUCUUUCUGGACCUUGGCCCUCGCUGUCUUUCCUCCUCCUGAUCUUGUCCUCAACCUCCUGAUCCACCACUGCUGUACUUGCUGUACUUGGCCCUGGUGUGUUCUCAGGGAUGGAGGCAAUUAGGACAGGGGGGUUGGUGGAAUGCAUAUGUCACAAUACCUUAUCCAA